AUUGAACGCUGGCGGAAUGCUUUACACAUGCAAGUCGGACGGCAGCACGGACUUCGGUCUGGUGGCGAGUGGCGAACGGGUGAGUAAUGUAUCGGAACGUGCCCAGUCGUGGGGGAUAACGUAGUGAAAAUUACGCUAAUACCGCAUACGAUCUAUGGAUGAAAGCGGGGGGUCGCAAGACCUCGCGCGAUUGGAGCGGCCGAUAUCAAAUUAGGUAGUUGGUGGGGUAAAGGCCCACCAAGCCAACGAUCUGUAGCUGGUCUGAGAGGACGACCAGCCACACUGGAACUGAGACACGGUCCAGACUCCUACGGGAGGCAGCAGUGGGGAAUUUUGGACAAUGGGCGAAAGCCUGAUCCAGCCAUUCCGCGUGCAGGAUGAAGGCCCUCGGGUUGUAAACUGCUUUUGUACAGAACGAAAAGGUUUCUACUAAUACUAGGAGCUCAUGACGGUACUGUAAGAAUAAGCACCGGCUAACUACGUGCCAGCAGCCGCGGUAA
rnacentral:rRNA from 1 species